UACGAAGGGGGCUAGCGUUGCUCGGAAUCACUGGGCGUAAAGGGCGCGUAGGCGGCGUUUUAAGUCGGGGGUGAAAGCCUGUGGCUCAACCACAGAAUGGCCUUCGAUACUGGGGCGCUUGAGUAUGGUAGAGGUUGGUGGAACUGCGAGUGUAGAGGUGAAAUUCGUAGAUAUUCGCAAGAACACCGGUGGCGAAGGCGGCCAACUGGACCAUUACUGACGCUGAGGUGCGAAAGCGUGGGGAGCAAACAGG
rnacentral:rRNA from 1 species